rnacentral:rRNA from 1 species
CAGUUCGGAUUGCAGGCUGCAACUCGCCUGUAUGAAGUCGGAAUUGCUAGUAAUCGCGGAUCAGCAUGCCGCGGUGAAUACGUUCCCGGGCCUUGUACACACCGCCCGUCACACCAUGAGAGUCGGGAACACCCGAAGUCCGUAGUCUAACCGCAAGGAGGGCGCGGCCGAAGGUGGGCUUGAUAAUUGGGGUGAAGUCGUAACAAGGUAUC